rnacentral:rRNA from 1 species
GAGGAAAGAGGGAGGCGUGCCUAAUACAUGCAAGUCGAGCGAACGGACGAGAAGCUUGCUUUUCUGAUGUUAGCGGCGGACGGGUGAGUAACACGUGGAUAACCUACCUAUAAGACUGGGAUAACUUCGGGAAACCGGAGCUAAUACCGGAUAAUAUUUUGAACCGCAUGGUUCAAAAGUGAAAGACGGUCUUGCUGUCACUUAUAGAUGGAUCCGCGCUGCAUUAGCUAGUUGGUAAGGUAACGGCUUACCAAGGCAACGAUGCAUAGCCGACCUGAGAGGGUGAUCGGCCACACUGGAACUGAGACACGGUCCAGACUCCUACGGGAGGCAGCAGUAGGGAAUCUUCCGCAAUGGGCGAAAGCCUGACGGAGCAACGCCGCGUGAGUGAUGAAGGUCUUCGGAUCGUAAAACUCUGUUAUUAGGGAAGAACAUAUGUGUAAGUAACUGUGCACAUCUUGACGGUACCUAAUCAGAAAGCCACGGCUAACUACGUG